CAGUGAAUAUUUGCUGAAUUUUAAUUUAGAUUGAAUGCAAUUCAGAAGACUGAGGCUUUCCAAAUUUCAAACCUCCUGAGAAAGUUCCUAAUAGGAAUGCUGGGUCACCAUGAAGCACAAUGUGACAUUGACCACAGAAGUGCCUACUUGAUCAACAAAACUACCCUGGCCCUUCAGUUAAAUACCUAGGAAGACAGCUGAACUCAACAGCCUGUGCGUGGUGGUUCAACAGGAGUACAAAAUGGUAGGUGAUAAAAGUUGUUAGAAGAGAUUCCUGGGACUUCACUAGGCACUGCUACCAGAGCCACCCAGUCAGAUUACAUGGCAAGCUCAAAGGUACUGCCAACUCUUACAGACCAGAUUCUUCUCACCUAGAAUUUAACCCACCAAUCAGAUCCUAUAUUGCUCCUGAAUUUUAGAGGCUUGGUGAGAAUUUUAUCAAGCCAACACUGCAGUUAGUAACCACCAAGAACAUUAUU